rnacentral:rRNA from 1 species
GAUGAACGCUGGCGGCGUGCCUAAUACAUGCAAGUCGAACGAAACUUCUUUAUCACCGAGUGCUUGCACUCACCGAUAAAGAGUUGAGUGGCGAACGGGUGAGUAACACGUGGGCGACCUGCCCAAAAGAGGGGGAUAACACUUGGAAACAGGUGCUAAUACCGCAUAACCAUAGUUACCGCAUGGUAACUAUGUAAAAGGUGGCUAUACUACCGCUUUUGGAUGGGCCCGCGGCGCAUUAGCUAGUUGAUAGGGUAAAGGCUUACCAAGGCAAUGAUGCGUAGCCGAAUUGAGAGGUUGAUCGGCCACAUUGGGACUGAGACACGGCCCAAACUCCUACGGGAGGCAGCAGUAGGGAAUCUUCCACAAUGGGCGAAAGCCUGAUGGAGCAACGCCGCGUGGGUGAAGAAGGUCUUCGGAUCGUAAAACCCUGUUGUUAGAGAAGAAAGUGCGUGAGAGUAACUGUUCACGUUUCGACGGUAUCUAACCAGAAAGCCACUGCUAACUACGUG